UGCAAGUCGAGCGAACGGACGAGAAGCUUGCUUCUCUGAUGUUAGCGGCGGACGGGUGAGUAACACGUGGAUAACCUACCUAUAAGACUGGGAUAACUUCGGGAAACCGGAGCUAAUACCGGAUAAUAUUUUGAACCGCAUGGUUCAAAAGUGAAAGACGGUCUUGCUGUCACUUAUAGAUGGAUCCGCGCUGCAUUAGCUAGUUGGUAAGGUAACGGCUUACCAAGGCAACGAUGCAUAGCCGACCUGAGAGGGUGAUCGGCCACACUGGAACUGAGACACGGUCCAGACUCCUACGGGAGGCAGCAGUAGGGAAUCUUCCGCAAUGGGCGAAAGCCUGACGGAGCAACGCCGCGUGAGUGAUGAAGGUCUUCGGAUCGUAAAACUCUGUUAUUAGGGAAGAACAUAUGUGUAAGUAAUUGUGCACAUCUUGACGGUACCUAAUCAGAAAGCCACGGCUAACUACGUGCCAGCAGCCGCGGUAAUACGUAGGUGGCAAGCGUUAUCCGGAAUUAUUGGGCGUAAAGCGCGCGUAGGCGGUUUUUUAAGUCUGAUGUGAAAGCCCACGGCUCAACCGUGGAGGGUCAUUGGAAACUGGAAAACUUGAGUGCAGAAGAGGAAAGUGGAAUUCCAUGUGUAGCGGUGAAAUGCGCAGAGAUAUGGAGGAACACCAGUGGCGAAAGCGACUUUCUGGUCUGUAACUGACGCUGAUGUGCGAAAGCGUGGGGAUCAAACAGGAUUAGAUACCCUGGUAGUCCACGCCGUAAACGAUGAGUGCUAAGUGUUAGGGGGUUUCCGCCCCUUAGUGCUGCAGCUAACGCAUUAAGCACUCCGCCUGGGGAGUACGACCGCAAGGUUGAAACUCAAAGGAAUUGACGGGGACCCGCACAAGCGGUGGAGCAUGUGGUUUAAUUCGAAGCAACGCGAAGAACCUUACCAAAUCUUGACAUCCUUUGACAACUCUAGAGAUAGAACCUUCCCCUUCGGGGGACAAAAAU
rnacentral:rRNA from 1 species